AAGGCUACGGCUCAACCGUAGUAAGCUCUUGAAACUGGGAGACUUGAGUGCAGGAGAGGAGAGUGGAAUUCCUAGUGUAGCGGUGAAAUGCGUAGAUAUUAGGAGGAACACCAGUUGCGAAGGCGGCUCUCUGGACUGUAACUGACGCUGAGGCACGAAAGCGUGGGGAGCAAACAGGAUUAGAUACCCUGGUAGUCCACGCUGUAAACGAUGAGUACUAGGUGUCGGGGGUUACCCCC
rnacentral:rRNA from 1 species